GCUUCUUUUGAAAUCCUCUCCCCUUCUUCUUCUCUGUCUUUUCCUUCAUCCUGGUUCUUGGCAUCAUGGCCAGGACUUCUCCUCGGGGAGCUCAGUCGGGGAAUCCGACUGAUGAUCUUCGGUCGACCCCAGAAGUGGAGGUCUCUUCACUUUCGGAGCCGAAUGUCGAUCGGCUUCGGGAUCAGUAUUGUAUCCCGGAGCAGUUCCGACUCUUCGCCCCU
rnacentral:lncRNA from 1 species